CAAAAUAGCAGACUGGUUACAGAAGCAGUGGUGUAGUGAUUAUUGUCACCAGUAGGAGACGCUGCGAGAUACAUGAGUGCCCCGUCGCUACUUCAGCAAUGAAGAACUGAACAUGUGCAAGAAAAAAACCAUGAAGUUGUUUUCGUCAGUCUUCAGAAGAGAUUUAAAGAAAUCUGGUCUUCUGGUCAACGUAAAAGCCAUUUUCAGUGUCCUGCUGAGGAGAGAAAGCGUUGAUGGCCUAAGGGUCAGCACUUACAGAUGGUUUUGCCUCCAGACAGUUUGAAGCUCAGACAAUGAUGAUGAUGGUGGUGAUGAAACCAUGGUUAAAAAGAUGUGAGUGCGGCCAUUCAUUCUGCUUAGCGUGACACAUCCCGUGCACGAGAUACAUCGCCUGGAGGGAGAGUGGGAAGAGAGGGAGAGAAACCAUUAGCCUCAGCUGUGAUUAUUGUGCAUUAAUGAAAGCUCAGAGACACUCGCGCAAGAGCAGAGGGAUGCAUGAUAUUAUAUUGAUCUAGCGUAGCUGGGAUUUCCAAAUAAAUUAGUUCCCCU
rnacentral:lncRNA from 1 species